AUGCAACUGGGGGAGCACACCCAUCCCCAGAAGAACCCCAAAUCUCUGGCUGGCUGUCUCUUACCCAACCCCCACCCCCAGCUCCAGCAGAGGGGCAAGCGUGCUGCUGGGCUGCUCCCGAGGAGAAACCCACGGCGCCACCCUCAGGCCCCCGGUGGCUCCUCAACCUGGGCCCCAUCUCUGCCCCCCAUCUUGGCUCCCCAGGCAUAAACUUUGCCCCUCCCACCCCCGUGCCUGGCAGAUCCCCUGGCACUGAGGCCCAGCCAGUGGCUCCAGCCAACGCACUUGGCUCCCGCAGCAAGUUAAAUCUAACCCAGCCCAGCUGUCUCUCCUCCGGCUCCCACCUGCCCCUCCCGUUCCCUGCAGGGAUGUGCCCACACCCUGCCCACCCUACACGGGCCCUCAGGAAGGGUGCAGAGGUCCCCCAGGAUCCCCCACUUUCCCACACUAGGAAAGCCCUUUGCCUAACAGCCUCUGGGGUGGGUGCCCUGCUUCCGGAGCUACCCCAGCACCCGGGUGGGGGGGGCGGGGGGCAGCAGAGUGCAGCAGGUUUUCAACAGGUAUUUCAAGAAGGAGCAGGAACCCGCUUCCCAUCAGUCAGGGUGCAGCCAGGAAGAGGGAAACUCCAGGGCCAACACUGA